UGAACCCUCACCCUCUGCAAUGGAAGGCAAAGUCUUAACCACUGGAUUUCCAGGGAAGUCCCGGAUUUCUAUCUCAGUAAAAGAAGUGUCAAAAAACAAAAGAAACAUAACUGUGAAGAGAAGAUUGUAAGGAUAAUGGAAAUACAUGCAGUACCUUUACACUCUGUUGGUGGAGGAGAACAAAAAGCCUUCUCUCCUUCAAAGAGCAGCGAAACCUUUUCUUCCGUCUCAGAUGGGACAUCUCCUCCCACCUCCUAACGGUUUCCUCAAGUCUCUCCAC